rnacentral:rRNA from 1 species
UACGUAGGUGGCAAGCGUUAUCCGGAAUUACUGGGCGUAAAGCGCACGCAGGCGGUCUUUUAAGUUUGACGUGAAAGCUCUCGGCUUAACUGGGAGAGGUCGUUGAAGACUGAGAGACUUGAGGAUAGGAGAGGGGUGCAGAAUUCCCGGUGUAGUGGUGGAAUGCGUAGAUAUCGGGAGGAAUACCAGUGGCGAAAGCGGCGCCCUAGCCUAAAACUGACGCUGAUGUGCGAAAGCGUGGGGAGCGAACGGG